GUUUCCACUGCUGUAGUUCAAAGUGGUUUUAUUCAAUGUAUGGGAGCUGCAUUAAGAGGAAAUACAUUGUUACAAGGAUUAGAAAUUUUGCCACAACUUUUACAGGCUAUAGAUCGUGCAGUUAGCCAACCACAU